CCUACGGGGUGCUGCAGUGGGGAAUAUUGGACAAUGGGCGAAAGCCUGAUCCAGCCAUGCCGCGUGUGUGAAGAAGGCCUUCGGGUUGUAAAGCACUUUCAGUGGGGAAGAAAGCCUUGGGGCUAAUACCCUCGAGGAAGGACAUCACCCACAGAAGAAGCACCGGCUAACUCCGUGCCAGCAGCCGCGGUAAUACGGAGGGUGCGAGCGUUAAUCGGAAUUACUGGGCGUAAAGCGCGCGUAGGCGGUCUGAUAAGCCGGGUGUGAAAGCCCCGGGCUCAACCUGGGAACGGCAUCCGGAACUGUCAGGCUAGAGUGCAGGAGAGGAAGGUAGAAUUCCCGGUGUAGCGGUGAAAUGCGUAGAGAUCGGGAGGAAUACCAGUGGCGAAGGCGGCCUUCUGGACUGACACUGACGCUGAGGUGCGAAAGCGUGGGUAGCAAACAGGAUUAGAUACCCGUGUAGUC
rnacentral:rRNA from 1 species